GGAAAGGGUGUGGAUCAGGGGUAGAGCAUCUGCUUUUCAUGCAGGUCUGAGGUUCAAUUCCUGGCCUUUCCA